UUUUUUUUUUUAGAAAGAGAAGUAAAAAUAAAUCAAAUGCUGGUUAUUAAAUAUAUGUUGACUCCUAACAUCAUUUACUACAACUUGCUCCUUACACAGUAUUUUUGAGGCAGAAUUGUCUUUUGCUCUGAGAUACUGGAGUAACACCUAGAGUUGUAUGGCUAUUUCCAUUAUGUGGGAUGGAGAUUAUAAUGAUAACUGAUAGUGGGGAAUGGGUGAGAAGAUUGAGAACAGAUUCUCUAAACAAUUCACUCUUUAGAAACCUCCUUCUAAAUACAUUUCCAGAACCUUCCUAUGCAGCUGGUGGGAAUGUAAGUUGGUUACAGCCACUAUGGAAAACAGUACGGCGCUUCCUCAGAAAGUUGAAAAUACAAUUACUGUAUGGUCCAGAAAUCCAACUCCAGGCAUAUAUCCAGAAAAAAAACUAUAAUUCAAUAUGAUAUUUACAUCCCAUAACAGCACUAUUCACAAUAGUCGCAAGACAGAAAAUCCUAAAUGCCAUCAACAAAUGAAUGGAUGAAGAAGGUGUGGUACCACAUAUACAAUGGAAUGCUACUCAGCCAUAAAAAUAACAAAAUAAUGCCAUCUUCAGCAACACGGAUGCAACUAAAGAUUAUCAUACUAAGUGAAGUAAGAUAUCAUACUUCCAAAGUCAGUCAGAAAGAGAAAGACAAGCACUAUAUGAUAUCACUUAUAUGUGGAAUCCAAAAUAUCACAUAAAUGAAACAGACUCACAGAUAUAGAAAACAGACUUAUGAUUACCAAGGCAGAGGUGGUUGGGAGAGGAACAGAGUGGGAGGUUGGGGUUAGCAGAUGUAAGCCGUUAUUUACAGAAUGGAUAAAGAACAAGGUCCUGCUGUAUAGCACAGGGAACUAUGUUCAAUAUCAUAUUAUAAGCCAUAAUGGAAAAUAAUAUUAAAAAUGUAUACUUAUGUAUAACUGUCCUACUUUGCUAUACAACAGAAAUUAAUACAACAUUGUAGGAGUUCCUGUUGUAGCUCAGUGAUAACAAACCCAAAUAAUAUCCAUGAGGAUGUCGGUUCGGUCUCUGGCCUUGCUUAGUGGGUUAACCAUCUAGUGUUGCUGUGAGCUGUGGUGUAGGUCGCAGUGAGGCUCAGAUCCAGUGUUGCUGUGGCUGUAGCACAGGCUGGCAGCAGCAACUUUGAUUUGACCCCUAGCCUGGGAACCUCCAUAUGCCAUGGGUACGGCCCCAAAAAGAAAAAAAAAAGGCAAAAAUAGAAAUUAAUAUAUUUAAAUCAACUAUAUAUUUCAAUAUAAAAUAAAUUCCUUUCCAUAAUGAAUAUUUUCUAUAUAAUUAAUUCAUUCUUUUGCCCCCAAAAUACAUCCACAACUUGUUAUGAGAGUUAAUAAGCUUUUUCUUACUAUUUAAGUCAUCUUCCUUCUGCAUUUUCUGUUACUUGUAGCCAAGAAUACAUCUUUAAGUGAUCUAUUCCUUGACAGUUCUUUUGUUGCUCUGGGAUAUAUAUGUAAGUUAAGCCAUAUACCUGCCAUCUAAUUUAAUAAUGAGGCCAGUGGAUAGGUGUUUAAACGUGUUGAAGGAAGGAAUGGUUAGUUAAAUAAACCUCAUCAUGAAAGUUUUAUUACAAGAAAGGAGUCCAUACUCUCCUAUGACCAAUAAAUAGGGACAACGGCUCAAUAUUCACACUCUUGCUUCCACUGAAACAAGUGUCACCAGUCCUGAUCCUCCUACCAACAAGAUGCAGGAGAGAAAAUAAAUACAAAGUAUAUAAUCUCAUUUUGGCAUCAGGCAGUCAUCAAUAUUUCGUCCUUUUCUCUCCAUCUGGAUGGCUCCAGCUUUAAACUCCAUGGAUCAGGCUGGACAUUUUCCCAGGAAGUUGUUUCAAUAUGAAUGGUUUGUUCCUAGCAGAGAAUCAGGUCUACUCCUUUAUCUGCUGCCCUCUGAGAUGCACAUCAUGUUCCCAUAGACUAAAUGCCUCAUUGCUAAUGAAAUGUGAACUGGCCCAGCCACUAAGGGCGUUUUAUCUCCUUUGUCACAUGGACAGGUUUAGGGAUGGGGAAAGGACCCCAUUCAGGCCAAUGCAUGUCAGCCCUGAAACUCACGUUGAAAAUGUAAGGGGAGAGAAGUUCUCUUUCUACUGCACUUGGGGUGGUAAGGAUGCAUACCUCUAGCUGCUGGCAGCCAAUGUGGGAAAUCAUGACUGUGGUUUUGAGCAAGAGGUACCAAGCCCCCAUGUUACUUGGGCACUGGCAUCUAGCUAUGAUCAAAAUGAUUCAACUUCCCAGUUGCAUGAACCCAGUUGGGUUUUCUGUCUCUGACAGUAAAAAAUCCUCACUAAAACAGAGAGGUAGGGCAGGUAUCAGAAUUCUCACCUUGCAAAGUAUGAAAUGGAGGCUCAGAGAAAGGUUAGAGUGGGAGGUCCAAAAACUCUAUUCAAGGGCUCCUUCCAUUCCAGUCUGCUGCCUGUUCAGUGAUUCAGCACAGCAGCCUGGAAGAAAUCCACACACCCACUGCUAUCUUUUACUGACUUCAAACUGUUCCAUUUUAUUUUAUUUUUUGGUUUUUAGGGCCACACCUGUGGCAUAUGGAAGUUCCCAUUCUAGGGGUCAGAUUAGAGCUAUAGCUGCCAGCCUACACCACAGUCACAACAAUACCAGAUCCUUAAACCACUAAGCGAGGCCAGGGAUCAAACCUGCAUCCUCAUGGAUACUAGUCUGGUUCGUUUCUGCUGAGCAGCAAUGGCAACUCUCCAAAGAGUUCCAUUUUAGAGCCAACAAAUGAGUCUUGCACUGAGUUACCAAGGGAGAUUAUCUCUAUUGCUUUAGCAAAGUAAAGAUUGCUAUGCAUAUGCAAACAAAAAUCCAGGGCAGGUGCCUUAGAUUUGCACAGAAGGGCAUCUACCCCCAGGAUCUGUCCAGGCUGCAGGCUGGCUCUGGUGGAAGCCCUCUCUCCUCAGAGGACUGCUGUCCUAAGUCUAAGGAUGAUCUCAGCUUGUUAUCAUCUCCAUGCCUUCAUGUUUGCUAGUCUGACUGGAUUCAUCACAAACAAAACCUCUACUUGGCUAACUGCUCUGCCCAGCGCCCCGCCUGUCCACAGUAACUCACAAAGCAGAGGCCACAGAAGGCAGCCCACAGCCCAAAUUCUACUCCUUUGUGUGUUUUAACUCCUUUAAAAAAAUUCAGCUACUCAAUGGUUAAUGAAUCCAACUAGAAACCAUGAGGUUGCGGGUUCGAUCCCUGGCCUUGCUCAGUGGGUUGAGGAUCUGGCAUUGCCAUGAGCUGUGGUGUAGGUCGCAGACAUGGCUCGGAUCUGGCAUUGCUGUGGCUCUGGCGUAGGCCGGCAGCUACAGCUCCAAUUAGACCCCUAGCCUAGGAACCUCUACAUGCCACGGGAGCGGCCCAAGAAAUGGCAAAAAGACAAAAAGACAAAAAAAAAAAAAAAUUCAGCUAAUUUAAAGAUUGAACAAUUUUACAUAAAAAUUUAGAUUUUAUGCUCCAUUUGAAAAAAAAUAAUCAAAAGGACUAUCAAUGCUGUGUGCAUUCCCACUAAGUGACACGGACAAAAUCCAAAUGGUGUCUGGGUCAAUUAGACAAAUUUUCUUUCUUCACCUUAUUACCCAUCUGGCUUUUUUUUUUUUUUUUUUUUUUUUUUUGUAAACUCUUUUCUGCCUCCUGCCUGGCCACACAUGCAUAUUCAACCCCUGUCUUAACUUGCCUGCACCUACUGGGGCUAACCCAACCCAGAAGCCACCUUGCCCUCCAGUGGCUGUGUCUGGAAGCUGCUGGUUUCUAGCCAUAUUCCCACUCUAGACUCUGGUCUCUCCAAAAAUAAAAUCACAGUGGCACCACUGUGUGAUUGCAUUUUGUUUCCUUAUCCUUGGAUUUGGAUCUUACAAAUCUGCAAAAAUCCAGGAAUAAUUUAUUUAAAUUCAGAAAAUAAUUUUAAUAAAUACUCUUACAUGAGUCCUUCAGCAGAUAAGGACUUAAGAGGGGCUGUGUGGCGUAAUCCAUGAGGGACUUGAUGAGAAGUCAGAAGACUCUGUCACCCUGUGACCUUUUAUAAAACAUAUCUGUCUCCCUACCUCAGUUUCCCCAUCUAUCAAUAAAGGAAGUUGAGCUGGAUCAAAAGUUUUAAACUGGUGGCCCACAAGCCAUACCCACAGCCAAUAGAUGGCAUUUUCUUUUUUAUUAAUUGUAUGCCACUGGCUAAAAAGAUGGAUAUUUGAAUCCAGAUUAUCCAUAUGGCAGACUUCUUAGAACUUCAACAAUGGGCCAACAUUCCUGCGUGACCAGGAUGGUUAGUUGGGGAUUACAAGUUCACCCCAGUCCUCACCCACUUCCUAGUGAGCAUAUUUGCACCCUCACCACCUGAUUUAUUCAUUUCCAUCCCUGCCUACGCUCACAGGCAUUUGCUCUUGCCACCCUUGAAUGGGAUGCCCUCUAGGGACAUAUCAGCCCCACUUCUACGACUGAAGAUAUGAUCUAAGAGUUGGAGAUGAUCUGGAGAAAAGAAAAACGUUCUGAGCAGAAAGACCAUGCUGCAGCAUUCCUGCAAAUCUCAGUGGAUCACCUCCUCCCACUUGGCCCAGAGUUUAAACAGCAAGACGCCCAAGUCUUUGUGAAGGUCCCACUACAUGGUUAAUCCUGAAAAGGCAACAGCCGGGUUUUGAAAGCAGCAGAAAUAUUCUUCCGCUGGGGUUGCUAGCAGAUUCUCUAAGUAAUUUGCAAUUCAAGUGCCUCUUUGUUUUGUAUGAAAAUUUGCUGCUAUUUGGAAAGUGGGGAAGAGCUAAAUUGCAUCCUGCUGGUUUUACUUUGACUGUAUCAAAAAAGAAACUGUUAAUCUGGUUCCAUAAUUAACUUUCCUGUUCUAAAAAGGCCCUGGGAGAGAGUCCAGAGAGGGGCUGUCAACUCCCUGCUUCUCUUCUCAAUAAUGUCUUUCAACAGGAGGCCCUGAAAGCAGACUGAACCCAGGUGGACACUGGUCUUCAUUUUCACUUUCUCCAAUUUUUCUUCCCUUUUACCCCCCUCCAACAACAUUUAAUGAAUCCUAACUGGAGGUAAGACACUGGGCUGAUCAGGGUGGUAUGAAGAUACAUAAAUUUCUAUGGAGCUCCCAGAGACUACGACUUAUUUUCCUUCUUUCCAUUUGACCAUCCACCCAUCCACCC
rnacentral:lncRNA from 1 species